GGGGCUGUAGUGUAGCUUGGCCAGCGCAAAUCAGAGAUUUGCUGGGUUGCGUUGAAGCAACUAUCACUGGAGCUCGGGGAGCUUCCAACCCCGGUUCGAAUCCGGGCAGCCCCA
rnacentral:tRNA from 1 species